rnacentral:lncRNA from 1 species
AUGCAAGCGUGUCUGUGUGGGCAAGCGUGCGUGCGGGGCCGUGGCAGCGCGUGGGCACGCUGGCCAGCACCGGGGCAGGCACAUAGCGCUGGCUGCGUGGGCAGGACAGGGGCUGCGUCCCCCAGGGCCCCCCCCUUGCACACUUGCACAGGGGCUGAGCAUCACGGCAGGGCUGGGGGCAGCAGGGGGGAGCUGCCUGCACCCUGCCUGCAGCUCCCAGCCAGCUCGGGGGGGUCAGGAGCGGCCUUGCAGUGGGCAGUGUCCUCCUGCACAGCUGACCCCGGUGCUGUCUCAGUCUCCUCAUCUCUGCCACGUUUGCUGGUCCGCAGGCUGGCGAGCGGCAUGCGGGUGUCCCCGUGCUCGCAGGGGACGUGGGGCCCUGCAGAUGGCCCUGCUGUGCACGGGAGAAGCCCCCGAGGCAGCCCGGGGGCGGGGGGGGGGGCUGUGAUUUGCACCAUCUUGAGCCGAUCUGAACGGGGCGCUGGAGCGGAAAACGCUGACAUUUCCAGGCAGACGCUGGGGAUCGGCCUCCUGAGCGAGCUGUCUGCUCUCAUCGCAGCUCCGGUGGGGGAGCGAGCGGGGAGCCGCGGGGCCACGGUGCCCAGAGCAUGCUGUCGGGUGGGGACGCGUCCCCGCUCCGCUGGGGGUCCCGGUGACGGGGGUGUGACGGGAUCCCUGUCCCACUGCCCACCUUUGGGUACGGGGUCCCCAGGGGCCGGGAGGUCCUGCUGGGGCCCGCAGCCUGUUCCCCAGCUCUGGUGGCAGCGGGCAGCCCCGGGGAGGGUCUGGGGGCGCCGUGCACGACCAGGGCCUGGAGCAGCAGGGCGGUGGGCGCGAGUGCAGCCGUGCGGAGGAUGCCGCUGCCGCGAGAAGCAAGUAGGUCAGCUCCUGCCGGGAGCUUCCCGGCUUGGCGGCGCUGUGUGGAAGCAGAGCAGGGUGCAGCGCAGCGGGGCGAGGGGCUUUCCCAGCCCCCCCGGGGGGGUUGGUACGGGGCAGGGGCACCGCGGCCAUCUGGCAGCCUGCCCCCCCCCACACCCCGCACCGGUGCCCACAGUCACAUCGCCUGGGCCAGGCUGGGGGAAGUGGGUCAGCGGGGGGGGCACCUCGCUGGCACCAGCCCCCCGAUGCCUGCCCCUUCCCCAGCGGUGCCUGGCCCUUUGCCUCGAGCCCUUUGGGCUCGCAGCAGCCGCAGGGAAGUGCCUCGGGUGCUUGGGUCUUGCUCCAGCACCCCGCAAACCAGCCCCACCAGCCCCCGCUCCUGUGGUGCACGUUCCCGUGGUUUCCCCCGAUGGCCACGGCCGUGUCCCACCACACCAGGCCGCGAGCCUGUCCUGGGGCUGCGGCACCCCUGGAGAAGCUAAAUAA